rnacentral:misc_RNA from 1 species
UCUUCCAUAUCUUUCCAUUGACCUCUCUAUUGAUCUUCCCAAUAAAAUAUCAUCUCCAUGAGACUUAUCAGGAUGCUCUGAUCUUUCACUAUAUUACUUGUCAUAUCUCUCAUUGCCUUUAUCUUUUAAUCUAUCCAUAAGUUUAUAUGUGCUUCUAUGCAUACUUUGUUCAACAGUUCCUGUCUUGUCAAGAUCCACUAAUCGAGCA